rnacentral:rRNA from 1 species
UACGUAGGGUGCGAGCGUUGUCCGGAAUUAUUGGGCGUAAAGGGCUCGUAGGCGGUUUGUCGCGUCGGGAGUGAAAUCCACUGGCUUAACUGGUGGCUUGCUUUCGAUACGGGCAGACUGGAGGUAUGCAGGGGAGAACGGAAUUCCUGGUGUAGCGGUGAAAUGCGCAGAUAUCAAGCGGAACACCAGUGGCGAAGGCGAGUCCCUGGACAACUCCUGACACUGAGGCACGAAAGCUAGGGGAGCAACAGG